GUAGAAAAGCCUCGCGGGGGAGGAACAGCGUCCUUUUUCCGCUUCCACAGGAAAGAGUUACGCAUUUUCGCUCCCCGUACCUGCGAGCUUCGUAAGGGGCCUAUCAUGGCAUGCUCCCCUACCACGUUCCUCCGUAGCUGGAGUGCUUCGGUGUCGUGCCCGCGACCACCGUGAGGCUCGAAAUUGGCAAGAAGAUGAAUCCAGUGGUACAUUCCGUGGCUUCCUGGAAUCCAGAAUGUGUCCAAAUCGUUUAAGUCCAUGAGUAAUAAGCGGUAAAAGGAACAAGGACACAAAAACCAGAAUAAGCUACUGCUGUCGACAUUUUUGUGGAUUCCCAUGGUGAAUAAGAGGCUUUUAAAUUCCACGCGUAAUCUGAAGAAUUUUCAUCAAAGAAAAGCUUUGGAUUUGGAUAAGUGGUGGUUUUGAGCUCUCCAAGGGCACAACUGGCAUCUGUAAUAAUUUUGUCCUUUAUUUAAUGAUUAUAUAUUUUUUAAAAUAUGUAAAAUGAAGCUUGACUUUAGGUCUCUUCAAAAGAUUUUGUCCCUUUGUCUUGAUAUUGUAAGGUACUUUUCCUGAGAAACACUACCUUCCUCCACCCACCCACCCCUCCCCAAUUGAGGUCAUUCACCCACCAAAUAAAGCUUUUAAGACACCUGUAUGUUCUGAUUCCCUGA